rnacentral:rRNA from 1 species
AUGGACCACGCAACAGGUGCCAUGGGCAGCCUGCUCCCCAAGCUCGGCGAACUCCUUAAGGAGGAGUACAAACUGCAAAGAAGCGUCAAGGAUGAUGUAAAACAUCUCGAGAGAGAGCUGGAGAGCAUGCACGCUGCCCUCCGCAAGGUCGGGGACGUGCCACGGGAACAGCUCGACGAGCUAGUCAAGCUCUGGGCUAACGAGGUCAGAGAACUUUCGUACAGAAUAGAGGAUAUCAUCGACAAGUUCCUGGUGCAUGUCGAGGGGCCUGAACCUGAAGACAAGCCACACAUGCUCAAACAAGUCAUGAAGAAGAUGGGCGGCUUGUUCACCAAGUUCAUGAAACGCCGUUCCAUCGGCGACGAGAUCAAAAGUAUCAAGGUCAGUGUUCAGGAGGCGGCUGACCGUCGUGAUAGGUACAGGGUCCAUGAGGUGGUCACUAAUCUAGUUGUUACAACCACCGUUGACCCUCGCCUAUUAGCUCUAUACAAGGACCAAAAAGAACUCGUUGGCAUUGAUGAUUCAUUGAAUGAGCUAACCAAGAUGAUGAGUGAUGGGGGUGGUGAUACGUCCAAGCAACUCAAGAUACUCUCUAUUUUUGGAUUCGGAGGCCUAGGCAAGACAACUCUUGCCAAAGCAAUGUAUGAUAAGCUUGAAGCACGAUUUGAUUGCAGUGCUUUUGUUCUUGUAGGACGCCACCCUAGCGUGAAGAAACUUCUCAACGACAUUCUCUAUGGAAUUGGCAAGAAAAUGUACCCUGGUUUGGAUGAAAGGCAGUUGAUUGAUGAAAUCCGAGUAUUACUUGAGAAAAAGAGGUACUUAAUCGUCACUGAUGACAUAUGGGAUAAAAAAACUUGGGAACUAGUCAAGACCGCUUUGGUGUGUACUAAUUGUGGAAGCAGGAUUGUCACAACUACUCGUAUACUCGAAGUUGCCACAAGAACUGGUAAAGUAUACAGGCUACAACCACUUUCUCGUGAUUUAUCGGAGGAUUUAUUUCAUAGAAGAUUAUUUGGGGGUAAAAUAAAUCAGCCUAAUCAUCUACCGUCAGAGGUAUACAAUAAAAUUUUACAUAAAUGUGGUGGUGUACCGUUGGCUAUAAUCACAAUAGCUAGUUUGCUCGUCAGUAAACCGGUGGAGCUUUGGUCUAAGGUAUACACCUCAAUCGGUUUUGGGCAUGAAGAGAAUGAAGACGUGGAAAACACAAGAAAGAUACUUUUAUUUAGCUAUUAUGAUCUCCCUUGUCACCUAAAGACUUGCUUAUUGUAUCUGAGCAUAUAUCCUAAAGAUCAUCCGAUUGCGAAAGAUAGUUUGAUAUGGAAAUGGGUCACCGAAGGUUUUAUCCACGAGGAACCAGGGUUAAGACUAUUUGAAAUUGGUGAAAGGUACUUCAACGAGUUGGUGAACAAAAGCAUGAUAAUGCCGGUAGAAAUACCUUAUCAUGGAAUCAUAACUGGUUGUCGUGUCCAUGACAUAAUGCUUGAUAUGAUAUGCCUAUUGUCAAAGGAAGAAAACUUUGUUACUGUAUUGGAUAGUGACGAGCAAUAUACAACUUCACAUUGCAACUCUCGUAGGCUAGUUGUUCAUCGUAAGGUCCGACCUCUGGCUAGCACAUCCACACUACAAGCAAGGUCACUUAAUGCCAUGUGCAGUCCUGAGAUGUUGCCAUCACUUUCAUGCUUUUAA